rnacentral:rRNA from 1 species
GACGUAGGGGGCCAGCGUUGUUCGGAAUUACUGGGUGUAAAGGGUUCGUAGGCGGUGUGGCAAGUCGGGAGUGAAAUCUCUGGGCUCAACUCAGAGACUGCUUCCGAAACUGCUGUGCUGGAGUGUGGGAGAGGCGCGUGGAAUUGCAGGUGUAGCGGUGAAAUGCGUAGAUAUCUGCAGGAACACCCGUGGCGAAAGCGGCGCGCUGGACCACUACUGACGCUGAGGAACGAAAGCUAGGGGAGCAAACAGG